rnacentral:rRNA from 1 species
UACGUAGGGUGCGAGCGUUGUCCGGAAUUAUUGGGCGUAAAGAGCUCGUAGGCGGUCUGUCGCGUCUGCUGUGAAAUCCCGAGGCUCAACCUCGGGCUUGCAGUGGGUACGGGGCAGGCUAGAGUGCGGGUAGGGGAGAAUGGAACUCCUGGUGUAGCGGUGGAAUGCGCAGAUAUCAGGAGGAACACCGGUGGCGAAGGCGGGUCUCUGGGCCGGUUACUGACGCUGAGGAGCGAAAGCGUGGGGAGCGAACAGG